rnacentral:rRNA from 1 species
GACAGAGGGUGCAAACGUUGCUCGGAAUCACUGGGCGUAAAGGGCGCGUAGGCGGGAAUGUAAGUCGGGCGUGAAAUCCCUAGGCUCAACCUAGGAACUGCACUCGAAACUGCGUUUCUUGAGUAUCGGAGAGGAAAGCGGAAUUCCUGGUGUAGAGGUGAAAUUCGUAGAUAUCGAGGAGGAACACCAGUGGCGAAGGGCGGC